AUUGAACGCUGGCGGCAGGCCUAACACAUGCAAGUCGAGCGAGCGGCGCACGCGUGAGUAAUGCCCGGGAAAAUGCCUGCUCUAGGGGGGUAACCACUGUAAACGACAGCUACUAACGCAUCCCCUCUGAUGUUCCCAGAUGGGAUUAGCUAGUGGGUGGGGUAACGGCCCACCUAGGCGACGAACCCUAGCUGGUCUGAGAGGAUGACCAGCCACACUGGAACUGAGACACGGUCCAGACUCCUACGGGAGGCAGCAGUGGGGAAUAUUGCACAAUGGGCGCAAGCCUGAUGCAGCCAUGCCGCGUGUGUGAAGAAGGCCUUCGGGUUGUAAAGCACUUUCAGCGGGGAGGCGUUACCCGCAGAAGAAGCACCGGCUAACUCCGUGCCAGCCGCCGCGGUAAUUC
rnacentral:rRNA from 1 species